rnacentral:rRNA from 1 species
CCUACGUGGGGCAGCAGUGGGGAAUAUUGCACAAUGGGGGAAACCCUGAUGCAGCGACGCCGCGUGAGUGAAGAAGUAUUUCGGUAUGUAAAGCUCUAUCAGCAGGGAAGAAACCCACCCUCCGGGGUGCCUGACGGUACCUGACUAAGAAGCCCCGGCUAACUACGUGCCAGCAGCCCCGGUAAUACGUAGGGGGCAAGCGUUAUCCGGAUGUACUGGGUGGAAAGGGAGCGUAGGUGGCAAGGCACGUCAGAUGUGAAAACCCGGGGCCCAACCCCGGGAGUGCAUAUGAAACUGUCUGGCUAGAGUGAAGGAGAGGUAAGUGGAAUUCCUAGUGUAGCGGUGAAAUGCAUAGAUAUUAGGAGGAACACCAGUGGCGAAGGCGGCUUACUGGACUGUAACUGACACUGAGGCUCGAAAGCGUGGGGAGCAAACAGGAUUAGAUACCCGGGUAGUC